rnacentral:tRNA from 1 species
GGAGAGAUCGCAUAGUUGGCCUAGUGCGCACGCUUGGAAAGCGUGUAGGCUCGCAAGAGUCUCGAGGGUUCGAAUCCCUCUCUCUCCGCCA